ACGCUUCCCGUAAAAGAAAGAAAAAAAAAGAAAGAAAAGAAAUUACCUCUCAGGGUGUCUCAGGGCAGCCGUCCCGAGGCUCGGCUUGACAUGGUUCCCUGCCCUUCCUCAGUGGCUCCGGGCCCCGCCGAGGCUCCCGUGAGGACGAGGCGGAUGUGGAGCUGCCGCCCGGCCGGCCGCAGCAGUGCGGCUGCUCCGGUGGGGGCUGGGGUGCGGGCUGGCUUCCUGCUCGCGACUUGUGUCAGGAGUUUCCCAGCCCCGGCUCGCUUCUCCGCCGAAGGAAAAAACUUUUCACUCGUGACACCGCCCGGAAUUGCCGUGCGAAACUCACUUCCUGCCUGGGUGAAAAGCAGGCUGGAAGGCGACCGUCCGUCGGGCGGUCCGACCGGCCGGCCCUGUCUCUGCCACUCGCGCUCGAACCCUCCGGGCUUCCCGCCGCCGUCCCUGCGCUCUCCUCCGUCCUCUUUCCCUGCGGUCGCGGCCGCGGCGGCGCGGUCUCCUCGGGAGCUCGCGGGCCCGCGCCGGGGGCCCAGGCUGCGUCGCGCGCCGCCGCGCCACCUUCACUCUCGAGCGGGAGACGGAGAGGGGAGGCGAGGCGGAGGAGAGAAAGGAGGAGGCGGACCCGGGCCGGGCCGGGGUGGAGGGAGUUUCUGCUUCACA
rnacentral:lncRNA from 1 species